rnacentral:rRNA from 1 species
UACGUAGGGGGCAAGCGUUGUCCGGAUUUAUUGGGCGUAAAGAGCGUGUAGGCGGUUCGGUAGGUCCGUUGUGAAAACUCGAGGCUCAACCUCGAGACGCCGAUGGAAACCCUCGAACUAGAGUCCGGAAGAGGAGAAUGGAAUUCCUGGUGUAGCGGUGAAAUGCGCAGAUAUCUGGAGGAACACCGGUGGCGAAGGCGGCAUCCUGGACCGAGAUUGACGCUGAUGCGCGAAAGCCAGGGGAGCAAACGGG